GACGAACGCUGGCGGCGUGCUUAACACAUGCAAGUCGAACGGAAAGGUCCUGCUUUUGUGGGGUGCUCGAGUGGCGAACGGGUGAGUAACAUGUGAGUAACCUGCCCUUGACUUUGGUAUAACUUCAGGAAACUGGGGCUAAUACCGGAUAAGAGCUCCUGCUGCAGUGUGGGGGUUGGAAAGUUUCGGCGGUUGGGGAUGGACUCGCGGCUUAUCAGCUUGUUGGUGGGGUAGUGGCUUACCAAGGCUUUGACGGGUAGCCGGCCUGAGAGGGUGACCGGCCACAUUGGGACUGGGAUAGGGCCCAGACUCGUACGGGAGGCAGAAGGGGGGAAUAUUGCACAAGGGGCGGAAGCCUGAUGCAGGAACGCCGGGUGCGGGAGGAAGGCCUUCGGGUUGUAAACCGCUUUCGCAUGUGACGAGGCGUGAGUGACGGUAAUGGGAAAAGAAGCACCGGCUAACUACGUG
rnacentral:rRNA from 1 species